rnacentral:lncRNA from 1 species
ACACAUCUGGCCUGCAUUUUCUAAGGUAUAGGUUCGACAUUGUGUUGAGAAUAUGGUAGCAACCUCGAAUCCUGAUGAACCAUCUUUUUCUGAUCCAAAAAAAAAAAAUUGGUGGAUUUAGUCAGGUACAUCGAAAAGGGCUACCUAUUGUCAAAGGUCAGCGGGCUUGUGAUGAGGAACCCAAGCAUAGGUCCGUAGGGGAGUCUUGAUGCCCGACACCUCAUGCCAACUGGUGUGAGAAUUGUCGAC